rnacentral:rRNA from 1 species
AGGACGAACGCUGGCGGCGUGGAUUAGGCAUGCAAGUCGCGCGACGGACCUUCGGGUUACGGAGCGGCGAACGGGUGAGUAACACGUGAACAAUCUGUCCUUACAUUCCGGAUAAUUGGUCGAAAGACCUUGUAAUACGGGGGAGGGUCACCUUUGGGCAUCCUUGGGUGAAGGAAGGCGCAAGCCGUGCAAGGAGGAGUUCGCGGACUAUCAGUUAGUUGGUGAGGUAACGGCUCACCAAGACUACGACGGGUAGCUGGUCUGAGAGGAUGGUCAGCCACAUUGGAACUGAGACACUGUCCAGACUCCUACGGGAGGCUGCAGUCGAGAAUCUUGGGCAAUGCACGAAAGUGUGACCCAGCGACGCCGCGUGGAGGAUGAAGGCCCUUGGGUCGUAAACUCCUUUUAGAGGAGAAGAACGCCGUGCAAGCGGCUUGACGGUACCCUCUGAAUAAGCCACGGCUAACUACGUGCCAGCAGCCGCGGU